rnacentral:rRNA from 1 species
UACGAAAGGGGCUAGCGUUGCUCGGAAUUACUGGGCGUAAAGCGCACGUAGGCGGCUCUUUAAGUCGGGGGUGAAAUCCUGGAGCUCAACUCCAGAACUGCCUUUGAUACUGAGGAUCUUGAGUUCGGGAGAGGUGAGUGGAACUGCGAGUGUAGAGGUGAAAUUCGUAGAUAUUCGCAAGAACACCAGUGGCGAAGGCGGCUCACUGGACCAUAACUGACGCUGAUGCACGAAAGCUGGGGGAGCAAACAGG